UCGGGGCCGCGCCGGGCCCGGCGCCGGUUCGGGGCUCCGCGGCUCCGGCCUCGGGUCUUGUACCGCGGGGUGGCACGGAGCGAGGAGAGUGGAGGCUGCCGGUGCCCGCAGCAACGCUGCCCGAGUAGCGGCUGGAGCGCUUGGUCGCUGCCGGGACCACCGCUGUGAGGCCCCGCGGCUGUGAGGCCCCGCGGCUCCAGCCCCUCAGGGAAAUGAAUCCCCCGGGCAGUGCCGGUCCCGCGCCCUGUGCCGGGUCACUCCGGCCGGAGCAGGCCCAGGGACGGUGCCCGGCUCCUCCAGGCCGUGGGGACGCAGCAGGGACCACACAGAACCCCAGAGGUGCACGUGUGGAAGCUGCCUGAUGGCUUUUCCAAGCUCUGUUUAACUGGUGAUGUCCCCAUGCUUCCAGAGAACAACGUUCCAGCACAAUGAAUGAACCCAUCUCCAGGGAUUCCUGACGUGAAUGGCCCAGCCAGGCUCCCCUCCAUCCCCACAGCCCCUCGGGGACCCCCGAUCCCUCAAGGAGUCCAGCAAGGCAGCCCUUCCCUCAGGGUGUGCAGUGACAUGGUGCACAGGGACAUUUGCCACCAGAUCUCACCAUCCAAGGGGUCCUGUGGGGCAUCAUCCAGCUCAUGCCAGUGCCUGUGCCCGGACCUGCCUCUGGCUGUGCCCACAGAGGCCUCGUGCUCAGUCUCUGGGAGCAGCCUCUCCACCCUGGCAGCUGGCUCCAUGCUGGGUUUUGCUCAUGCUUCUGAGCUCAGGAAGCAAAGUGUUAUCAAGUGCUUCUGAAGUGGUGGUGGCCCUCGAGCUGCGAACCAAAGCACUUCACCAGCCUUUUGUUCCCUUGCUUGGAGCUGUCUGGCUCUUCUCAAAGGACUAACAGUUUGCAGAUGCUGUUUGUUCAAUAAAAAGGGUAACCUCGCCUCCAGCUUCAGAAAAA